AUUGAACGCUGGCGGCAGGCCUAACACAUGCAAGUCGAACGAGUGGCGGACGGGUGAGUAAUGUCUGGGAAACUGCCUGAUGGAGGGGGAUAACUACUGGAAACGGUAGCUAAUACCGCAUACCAUCAGAUGUGCCCAGAUGGGAUUAGCUUGUUGGUGGGGUAACGGCUCCCCAAGGCGACGAUCCCUAUCUGGUCUGAGAGGAUGACCAGCCACACGGGAACGGAGACACGGUCCAUAGUCCUACGGGCGGCAGCAGUGUGGAAUAUUGCACAAGGGGCGCAAGCCGGAUGCAGCCAUGCCGCGGGUGUGAAGAAGGCCUUCGGGUUGUAAAGUACUUUCAGCGGGGAAGCGUUACCCGCAGAAGAAGCACCGGCUAACUCCGUGCCAGCCGCCGCGGUAAUUC
rnacentral:rRNA from 1 species